ACCCAGCGCAUCCUCAUCCUCACCCAGAGCAUCCUCAUCCUCACCCAGCGCAUCCUCAUCCUCAUCCCCACCCAGCGCAUCCAGAGGAUCACCCCCAUCCUCACCCAGCAUAUCCUCAUCCUCACUCAAUGCAUCCCCAUCCCUCGCCCAGAGGAUCAUCCUCAUCCUCACCCAGCGCAUCCUAAUCCACACACAGAGAAUCCUCAUCCUCACCCAGCGCACCCCCACCCUCAUCCAGAGGAUCAUCAGCACCCAGUGCAUCCUCUUCCUCACCCAGAGCAUCCUCACCCAGAGGACCAUCCCCAUCCGCAACCCAGAGCAUCCUCAUCCUCAAGCAGCACAUUCCCAUCCUCACCCAGAGCAUUGCUGGCACCCAGCGCAUCCUCAUCCUCGCCCAGAGCAUCCCCAUCCUCACCCAGUGCACCCUCAUCCUCACCCAAAGUGUCAUCAUCCUCAUCCAGAGUAUCAUCCUCACCCAGAGCAUCAUCUUCCUCACCCAGUGCACCCCCAUCCUCGCCCGGAGCAUCCUCAUCCUUGCCCAGAGCACCAUCCUCACCCAGAGCAUCCCCAUCCUCACCCAGAGCAUCCUCAUCCUCGCCCAGAGCAUCCUCAUCCUCGCCCAGAGCAUCCUCAUCCUCGCCCUCACCCAGCACUUGGUGCUUUUACUCCUCACCCCGCUCUCCUCCAGCACACUCACUCUUGCCGGCGGGUGGCGGGGUCACGACGGGCCCCCCCGGCGGGAUCCCCCGGUCCCCCCCGGCCCGGCGCGCAGGGUGCGCGCAGGGUGGGUGCGCUGGGCGCAUCGGCGGUGCUGGAGGGGAGCGCUCCAUCAGAGGGCAGCACAGGAGCGGCAACGGCAGCGGGAGGGACGGGAAGGGAAAGGACGGGAAAGGAAAAGGGGGGAGCAAACUUUCCCCGGGAGCGCCCAGCGGCGCGGCAGCCGGAGCGGCGGGGACCGGCGUCCCCGUGCCCAGCCCCGUCCCGGGGGACGCCGGCCCCGGGAUGGAGCCCUCGGCGCCGGGACACCCGGCAUCCUGCCUCCCGAGCAUCCUCCUCCUCCUCC
rnacentral:lncRNA from 1 species